rnacentral:rRNA from 1 species
GGCGGCAGGCCUAACACAUGCAAGUCGAGCGGUAACAUUUCUAGCUUGCUAGAAGAUGACGAGCGGCGGACGGGUGAGUAACGCGUAGAAAUCUACCUAGUAGUGGGGGAUAGCCCAGAGAAAUUUGGAUUAAUGCCGCAUACGCCCUACGGGGGAAAGCGGGGGAUCUUCGGACCUCGUGCUAUUAGAUGAGUCUGCGUCGGAUUAGCUUGUUGGUGAGGUAAUGGCUCACCAAGGCGACGAUCCGUAGCUGGUCUGAGAGGAUGACCAGCCACACUGGAACUGAGACACGGUCCAGACUCCUACGGGAGGCAGCAGUGGGGAAUAUUGCACAAUGGGCGCAAGCCUGAUGCAGCCAUGCCGCGUGUGUGAAGAAGGCCUUAGGGUUGUAAAGCACUUUCAGCAGUGAGGAAAGGGGUGUCGUUAAUAGCGCCAUCCUGUGACGUUAACUGCAGAAGAAGGACCGGCUAACUCCGUG